AGUUUUAGAAAGAUUUUAUUUUAUUUUGUUCCUCAAAUCUGGAACAAUCAUGGCAUAACAAAGGAGUAAGUUCACAAGUUAAAUAAAAUCUUCAAGGUUAAACAAAAUUGGAAAGAACUAACAUUAAUAUCUCUAAAAAUAGGUUAUCAAGCUUUUACUUUUGUAUCAAACUGAAAAUCCAAUGAGAUAUAAUCUGAGACAUAUUCCAUUCUAUUUGUUUUAUCAGACAAAACCUCCAGUUAUUUUUAAGAAUCACUUUCUGAAAGUCUUCUUAAAUCCAUUAGUUAUGCUAAUAUUCCAAACACUGCCUACAGUCACAGCUGGAACUAAGGACAGCUGUUCUGAGAACACUAAGGAACGAUCAGGUAGGUGUUAUGAAGUAGGGACCGCCAGUCCACCUAUAGCUACAGGAGAAGGACACAGAAGGAGUAUUCAGACUCAUGUUACUCAGACUCUGUCACAGUAUUUGGAGUAAAAAGUGUCCUAAUGGCAGGCUAUAUGUCAGCCAAGUUGGGUAAAGGUUGGUAAAAGAUGUCAUUAGCCAUAGUACCAUUUUCUUAUAAUAUUCUUACCAUAAUAAAAUACAGAAUAUUAAUGACCAGGAGAUGCUGCUACUGAACUGAAGAUGACUGUGCAUAUCAUAUUAUUUGGUGGUUUUAAUUCCUAGUGUGCAGUGAAGAAUGGAAAUGGAGAUUGUUGGCAAAGGAGACUUCCCGGGAAGCAGAUUUCUCUUUUGUCUACCUGCAGAGGCCAUCACAGACCUGCCAUUCAUUGACUGCCCAGAUCAUUCUCCCGCUAGCGCAGAGGUGGGAAGGGACAGCUUGAGGACAGAAUUGUAAGGGCUGGAGGAUAUUUAUUCUGCCCUUACAGUCAGCUCACUGGACUAGUAAAUGCCAGGUGACUCUUUCUCGUUUACUCUGUUCAUUAAUUCAUUUUUAAAAAGUACUGGCUAUCUAUUAUGUCGCAGACAUGGAUGCUGACGUUGGUGAUAAACUGUGAAUGAGACAGAGGUGUUAAUGAGAAGUACCACUGGGUUUGACACUCCCUGCUGCGAAUCUGGUGGACUCACAUCGGUAAGAUGUAUGAGGGUCUGAGAAAGGGCUGACGGUCAAAUAGUGUAUCCUCAUUCUCCAAGCCCAGAAUCCAGAGCCCCAGAACAGGGCAGUGAAACAGAAAAUGAAAGGGACAUGGAUGGUGUCUCCUCUGCCUUACUGAGGACAACAUUCCAUGGCCACUUCCUUUCUGAGACUGCUCAGGGCAAAGAAGUGCUAUCCUGGCCUUUCUUGCCACUGCUUGAGAAAACAGCAUAGACCAUGGCAUAGUGGGAGAUAUAGCCACAGUCUUGACAGAUUCCAUGCAACUGUGAAUAAUCCUCCUUAGCAGAUGCCACAGACCCACAACUCCCAUCAGCAUGGACACAGAAUGACCAGUCCACCUCCUCUGGGCAGGGCUUAGGACUAUCCUAAAGCUCAGAAUGGGUGAAGCAGAGGGGAGAGAGACCUCAGGCACAGGACAGUGAAGUCCAAAGGCAUGACAGGAACAGAGCCACACAAGCUGGGUAGCAGAAGUCUAGACAGAAUGAGCAAUAGUGGGUGGGGGUGGGGGUGGAGAUAAAAACACAUUUAGUUAUCAAGGAAACCAAAACCACGGCACAGGCAUGUCUCCAUGCUGGCUUACUGCAAUGGGCUGUGCGCUCCACAGGAAGAUGAGUGAGCGGAUGGAUUAGGGUCAUGGGUGCGGAAAGCCCGAGUAAGAACUCACAGACAGGGAGCACUCACAGCCAACAGAACCACUAGCAACAUCUGCUCCCUGCCUUUGUUACAAGAAAUGUGUCUUGCCAAUAAAGCUGGUUAUUAGCAGAGGGAGUUCUAACAGCUGACUUGUGAAGCAAAAAGAGCCAGCUGUCCUGGCCUCCAGGACUCAGGGAUAACUUCCUAUGUCAAGUUCCCA
ensembl:lincRNA Gm26527 predicted gene, 26527